UCAUUUUUUGUUUUCGGGUUAAGAUACUUUUAGAUGUGGGUGACCCUGCAGGUGGAAUUUGCUUUUUUCUGUUCACACUGCAAUCGGGUUCUUUCUGUUCACACUGCAAAUGGGUCAAAUUUUUUUAUUUUUCUGAUUCUGGUUAGAGUAUUGUCAAGUCUCGAUAGUGGCUUGUUGAUUAUCAUUUUGAGUAAUAGGAUUUCAAAUUUACGUUUGGAGGGGAAGCUUGUGAUUUGUUGGUCAAUAAAAGGGAACGUGUGUGCAUUUGCAGACACACAAUUCCCUUCCUCAUCUCCCUAUUGCCACCUGAUUUGCGGAAAACAAGAUGGAUGUUGUUUAUGAUGAGUUCAUGAUCAUGAAGUUAAGCCAGGUUUGGCUAUAGGCUUAGCUUGGGUUUUGUGAUGUUGAGUGAGGAAAGGAGAGCUGAGAAACAGAGCGACAAUUUGGCAGAUUGGGUCCUUGCUGGCACUGCUAAUUGCUCAUUAAAAUAAACAAAUAGAGCUAAAAUCUUUGCAUGUACGAGGAAAGGAGAGCUGGGAGAUUCCAUGCCGAAACUCUGUUGAGAAGAGAAAGAUGAGCAACAACAACAAACAAGUAGGGUUGAGAGUGAAAAAAUAAGAGCUACCUGAUCACAAGCUCAAAGGUUGACACUCAAUAGCUACUGAACAUACUCUCCUCCUUAUAAGGAUAGUGUUUAGUCAGGUUAUUCAAAUACUUGAAUCAGAAGGACCUCAGAAGACGUAAUCUGUCAAAUAUAUUUAGUCUAAUAUUAUAGCAAGUGCAAGUGUAAAUGUGUAAUACAAUUUAGAUUAAUAGUCCUAUUUUUACUUUGACGGCAUGUACCAUUUUUCCUCCUAAACUAUAUCCAUUUGAGUCCUCUUCCUUGA